UGGGGAAUUGUUCGCAAUGGACGAAAGUCUGACGACGCAACGCCGCGUGAAGGAUGAAGGUCUUCGGAUUGUAAACUUCUGUUGGGUGGGAAGAACUGUUUCCGGAUCAAUACCCCGGAGAUCUGACGGUACCACCUGAGGAAGCCCCGGCUAACUUCGUGCCAGCAGCCGCGGUAAUACGAAGGGGGCUAGCGUUGUUCGGAAUUACUGGGCGUAAAGGGCGUGUAGGCGGCCCGCUAAGUCAGGUGUGAAAGGCCUGGGCCCAACCCAGGAAAUGCGCCUGAGACUGACGGGCUUGAAUCCGGGAGAGGAUGGUGGAACUCCCAGUGUAGAGGUGAAAUUCGUAGAUAUUGGGAAGAACACCCGUGGCGAAGGCGGCCAUCUGGACCGGUAUUGACGCUAAGGCGCGACAGCGUGGGGAGCAAA
rnacentral:rRNA from 1 species